UUACCAACACUAAGUGCUUAAUAAACAUGAUUUGAUUUAAAAAAAAUAUUUGGACAGAAUUUAUUCCUCUUGUUAAUCUAUCAUUUCUCUUUCAUACAUUUUAUUCUUUGUUAGCUUUCAGGACCCUGUGAUGGACUGGUGACCUGUCCAGGGUGAACCCCGCCUCUCAUCGGAUGACUGCCGGAGAUGGGCAGCACGAGCCCCCCUCACCACCCUGCAAAAAUCAGCGUGUUCAGAUCAUGGAUGAAAAGCUUUUAAGGCAAAGAAGACACCUAGAAAUGUUUUUCCACCCAGGCAUCUGGUCUCAAUCAUCAUCAGUUCUGAUGAUGCCACAUGCAUAGCGAGUCCACAACAUCCUAAAAUUGUUUCUGUAAAGUGCAGAGGUGCAGUGAAUGGGAAUGUUCUGUCAUUGAUCCUCACUGUUCUUAGGAAGGAGAAAUGUCAUUUUGUCUUGAGUAAUACUGGAAUACUGUGAUAUUGAAUUAAAACAAUACUCUGUC